GUGUCAGCAGCCGCGGUAAUACGGAGGGUGCAAGCGUUAAUCGGAAUUACUGGGCGUAAAGCGCACGCAGGCGGUUUGUUAAGUCAGAUGUGAAAUCCCCGGGCUCAACCUGGGAACUGCAUCUGAUACUGGCAAGCUUGAGUCUCGUAGAGGGGGGUAGAAUUCCAGGUGUAGCGGUGAAGUGCGUAGAGAUCUGGAGGAAUACCGGUGGCGAAGGCGGCCCCCUGGACGAAGACUGACGCUCAGGUGCGAAAGCGUGGGGAGCAAACAGG
rnacentral:rRNA from 1 species